rnacentral:lncRNA from 1 species
AGUAAUAAAAUGACAUUUAGUUAGUGACAUUUAUGAUAAAUGUAAACAAGUUACUACUUGUUUUUCUUGGUAAAAAUAAAAUUACUACUUACAAAUUUCAAAAAGAGAUGGUAUAUAUUUUGCAAAACUUCCCCCAAAAUUUCCCUAAAAUCUCCCAAAAAAACCCUACUCCCUGCAAUAUCCCUCUCUCAAAAGUCAUAACAUUCAAGUUCAUAUCCCCCUUCCCAAUUUCUCUAUCCCCUCCAAAUCCCUCCACCCCAAACGUGAACCUCAAACACCUUCAGGAAUAGCAGUAUGAAAGUAUUCGUGUACUGUGUUGUUGCUUAAUUCUCUCUUUCCAUCUCUUUGUGUACUGACAUUGACACAUUGAAAAUCACCAUUUAUCUUUCUUUCUUGAUUUGAUUCGAAUUGCUCCUUCUUUCUGGAGUGUGUUUUGAUUUCAUGGAGGAAUUGAAUCAUGUUUAGAAGUAUUCUAAGUUCAGAAUUUCGAAGCGUAAUCUAUGUUGUGAUUUUAUUGUGUGAGUGUAAAAUAGAAUAUGUGGGGUGUUAUUGUACAAUAUACUAAUGUGGAUUAUCACAUUCACAGAUUAUGCCCUACGAGUGUUUGACAAAAUACCGCAAAGAGCAUUUUAAAUACUUUGACCUUUGGUAAAGUUUAAUCAUUUUCGAAUAUGAACUAAUUUGAUGAGGCUUCCUGAAUUCUUAUUUGAUUCAAUGAUGUGCAGGUCACCAACAAAGGUUUAUUCUAAUCUCAAGGUUGCACAACUCAUAUGCCUCUCUAUUCAGAAAGAUAGCUAACAAUGCUUAUUGUCUAUUGUUUCCUUCCACACCUCUAUUGUGAGUAUCACUGCGCUUUAUCUUUGAGAAAUUUUAAGCUUAGUAACUUGUUCAUUGAGAAGAAUAUGUUUCCUUCAAUAUAUUGGGAAUCAAGAAGUCAUAGUGUUUCUUUGUUCUUUGUGUCCUGUAUAUGUGGGUGUCUGUUUGAGUUUGUAUCUCUUUUUCUUUUUCCUUUUUCUCUUUCAGUAUUAUUUUUUUGACUAAAGAUAUUCACUGCUAAACAAUAUUUUUGUUUUAAGUAAAUUUUUUAUUUUGUGUUUGAUAAAACAUUAAGUUAACUUAUUAGAUUUCCAUCUUUCUUUUUAAUAAGUCAUUCUCCAAAUUGUCUAAUUAUAGGGUUUUAUUACUUUGAUAAUUAUUUUUCUCCUUAUGGUAACUAUGCAAUCAACUGAACAUGUAUGCAAUUUAACAGGUUAAAAUGUACUGAUGGCUAUGCUGGUUGAUUAGCUAAAACAUAAGGUUGCACACAUGUGAUUGGCCUGAGUUUGUUGGAUAUGGAGUGGCAAUGAGAAAGUCUAGUGUGGCAUCUUAUGGUAAGGUCCUAUAGAUUUGACGGCCAACAACUUCAUUCUUUCUUAAAGUUGUGUUUUCUACUCAUAAGGAUUUCUCGUUCGUUGAUAGAAGAUACUCGUGGAAUAGUUCAGUUGGUUGCUCUACUGCAUAAAGAUGAUGCUAGUGGUAAAGAAGUUUCACUAUAUAACUUAAUAUUUUUAAAUUAUUCUUGCA